rnacentral:tRNA from 1 species
GGAGGGUUCGCAUAGCGGUCUAUUGCGUUCGCUUGGAAAGCGAAUAUACCGAAAGGUAUCACAGGUUCAAAUCCUGUACCCUCCGCCA